GGAAUAUAAGAACCCGUCUCUUAACUUUUAACUAAAAAAACUAAGAACCGGUUCUUAGUUUUUUUAGUUAAAAGUUAAGAGACGGGUUCUUAUAUUCC
rfam:Brassica oleracea var. oleracea cultivar TO1000 chromosome C3, whole genome shotgun sequence